AAAAAAAAAAAAAAAACAGCGAGAGAAUGAUUUGUCUCCUCCGUUCCUCUCUAGUGUUGGUAAAGUUUUAAACCAUCAGAAAACAAAUUGUUGUGCUCUUGAUUGCUAUAAAGGCAGCCAUGGAUGUUGGUGAAACUAAUCCUUUUUUCGCAAAGACAUGCCAUCAGGUGCAAUCCUCAACUGAGCAGUCCAGACGGACCAGACCUGCUUCGCUAGUGCAAGGUUCGCCGUGAGGAUCAGUCGGGUUUACCUAAUUGACAAGAAACAUGUCAAACAAUGAGUCAAAAGGAGGAAAAACAAGUUGCAGACAAAUACAACAGAAAUGAAUAGAUGGCUACUCAGGCACAGAUUCGAGUACCAUAGCUUCUUGAUGAAUGAGCUCAUCAAUGAUAUCACUACUGCUAUUGCUUGCAGCAACACUGGUAGAAUAGAAAAGGUCAGUACUAUAAAGCAUUGUAAGCAACUCCAGAACAUAGAAAUUAUGAGCAGGAAAUAAAAAGGGAAAAUAAAUUAUACCAGUUUUCCAAACAAAA